UGCCAGCCGCCGCGGUAAUACGGGGGGAGCAAGCGUUGUCCGGAUUUACUGGGUGUAAAGGUGCGUAGGCGGACAAGUCAGUCAGUGGUUAAAUCUCCCAGCUCAACUGGGAACUAUCCGUUGAUACUGCUUGUCUUGAGUACUAGAGAGAAGAGUGGAAUUCCGAGUGUAGCGGUGAAAUGCGUAGAUAUUCGGAAGAACACCAGUGGCGUAGGCGGCUUUCUGGUCUGUAACUGACGCUGAGAUACGAAAGCCAGGGGAGCGAACGGGAUUAGAUA
rnacentral:rRNA from 1 species